ensembl:lncRNA
CUGGCCAAAUCAGGUUUAAAAAGUUUACUUUUCCUUCCCUUAGCAGUGGAACAUUUCCUCCAGCUGAAAUCCCGUAUAGAAGUCCAAUAUGUGAAACCAGUCAGAAGCAGGUGACAGAAACCAGGGUCACAGCCUCCAGGUGACCCUUCAGCUCCCACAGCAGACAGCCCUUCAAGAGAUUCUCAAGGCACUGGCUGAAGGGUCCACACAGAGAUCCUGGAGGCCCCCUCUGACUCUAGCACACCUUGAGUUUCUGCCUUCCAGACUCAUAGUCAAUCCUGUGGGUUAUUUUUCAUCUUGAAAUUGGGAUUCCACAUGAUUUUGUAGUCAGUUUUUUACAAAAUAACCCAUGGACAGGUAAAAAGUUUUAGCAGCCUCUUCUCCAUCGGCAAGUUCAUCUUGGUCAUCACCAACUCACCCCAAGCACGAUGAGAAGCCAUUGGCCUUAGUGUUUUUCCAGCUCAGACCAAGACCCGGCUUCUUGAAGCUCGGCUGAAACCCUGGUUCUGCCCCAUCCACGAUCAAUAUCCCAUUACUGCGUGUGGUCAGAAAGCCCCCAUGAGUCACUCAGAAACUACGCUCGAUCGUAGACAAAUUAAACUGUUACGACUUGUUCUAAUUACUUAAUAAAGCUUGUAGUACGCCUAAGAACCCAUGUGGAUGAAAGCAGCAUUACUCAUGUAGAACAUUAUUAUUACAGCAACAAUCGCCAUCGUGCCAAAAUUCCGGAGUCCCACCCUCAAGAAAAGAGUCCUGCCUCAUAGGAGCUGCUGGAGGCUGCUGUGCAAACAGACACCCCACCGGAUGAUGCAACAUCUGCCCGAACAGGGCGUUUGCUGUCAAGCGGGGCGAGAUUCAUAGUUCUGGCCGCAAUAGCCUGUCCCACUGACAGGACCCCGAGGCCGUUCCAGCGGGAGGAGAGCCAAGGAGGCUGCGCUCGUGGACUUGACGUGUCUCGCAGGCCUGCUCCUAGAAUUUCAUCCCUUGCCGUCCCCGCUUCUCUCCCCCUCCAGCCCAGCGUGAACUUCACUUGGGCCAAAAAAUCAGCUGCAUGAGAACAGGAUGGAGCAGGCAGCUGGAGACACGAGUCAAUAAAGCCCGCGAAGGAAACCUCAGGAUUUUCCUAACUGUGAACUUAGCGAGAAGCAACAGCAGGAGCUCCAGAAACUUCCUUAGGUGACAUGGAAUGAGAAACAGCUGGGAAGAGUGAAAAAAAAAGAAGAAAAAAAGGCUAUUCAUUCUUCGGGAUUUCCAAGAAGACAACAUGCAUGAUUUUAUCUUGAUGGCCCACCAAACUGGGUUCAUUUGCAAUACCAUCACUUAACCCAGGGCUGGGGUAGGACGAUGGGAGUGGCGGGCAAUGGGAGAUGAGUGUGCCUUCAUAGCUAAUUGCUGGACUCCCACUUAAGCAAACUCACCGAGUACUCAUAACUUGGAACCAGUUCAAGUCAUUCUGUGAUUUGCUAGACAUGUCCGCUAUUAUCCGUACUUUAAUGUGCGAAGGCAGCACAAGAGCCAAAAUGGCAAAGUGGUGCCAAGACUCAACCACCAUUAAUGAGCAUAUUAAGGGUCAGCAGGCUGCACAGUUCAGUUACAUCAUGCGGUAAUCAGUCAUGUCUAGAGUAACCCAAGGACUCCCUAAGACAACCCAUAAAGCCGUCCAAAGUUGACUGUUAUGAAGGUUAACCUGAGAGCGCUGAUUACAACCACGGAGUUGACACACAUAAUUAGGUUAGAAAAGCUCUCUAAGUGAAACUGAAGACAGAAUCUUAUAGAAACAGAUGUUUAUCCAACUAAUGCUGUUGGGUGAGUGCCAUGUGUCUGUAUCUGUGAGAUGCUCGUGUCAGGAACAGCCUUCGACUCUCUUGCCUAAUUGUAACUCAGAGGUGUCUGUGUAAUGAAAGACAAUCGCACUGCCCUAGGACCAAACAUGACGCGACAGGUCAUGCCUGCCCAGUGCUCUGUUCCUCACACCUCUUUUGCAGCCUGAGACUUCCACCGGGCGAGAGACAGACUGGAAUGUCCCACAGAAGGAAGCUGGCAAGAGCAGCGCCAUCACAGAGAAAAGAGAAGCAGCCAUCCCGAUAUCAGAGCAACAUGGCGGGCGCUCCAGAACGCCAACCAAAAUACCACUUUCUACUACACGAGUAGAGGAGGAGAAAGCCCCAGGGGACGGUCCUAGGCUGAGGAAAUGAGAUAAGCCAGAGGAGGCAAUGUUCAAGAGACUGAGCUAGUGGGCCCCCUUAUCUUCUCACACGGAAAGGAAAAAGGAAGGGAGCAGCAAGUGAUAACCAAGAUGGACCUCAGAGGGCAGCAUCUGUCCCCGCCCCCCAACACCACCGCCAGGGGUCUUCUUUCUGGGUGACAAGUGGGAGAAUCCCCAGCCACAAAUGAGCAGAAAGGAAACCCUAUCAGAAUUUCCACCCAAACAUCAGAGAGAAGGAGAAAAUGGGGGUGAUGAAGUUGUGGAAACCAGAGGUUAGAAGAGAUGAGAGAGCGAUGAAUGAGGGUAGGAAAGGUCCAGAAUGGUAAGUUGAUGCCGUGAUGAAAUCCAACAUGGCAUGCCCUCCCUGUGGAAGGAGUGGCUUCAGCAGGACAGAAAGGAGAAGGCAGCUGCGUAACAUCCAAGCAGCGGGGUCCUUUGCAGGCUCAGAAGCUGUCCCAAAGAACUGCCAGAAGUGGGCGGAGAGGUUGCCCUGGCUGUGCCGGAGACGUGGUCCUACUCAGCAGACUGAUCAACGCAGAGGACUCGGUGUGCAUCAGGCGCAUAAAGUCAGUUUUGCAAAUUAGCAUUUCAAAGCAUUUGUGUAGGAUUACACAUGCACAUGACACAGUGACAGAUAAAAUGACGGUCACAAAAGCAUCCUUGCCCUCAAGAGCAGGGAUUCUCAGCUCAGGUCUGUGAAACCUCUGAAGUUCCUUGCAAAAUGUAUGAGUAGAUUUUAGGGGGAGAGCAUAUACAGAGCUUUCAUGAGGUUUUGAAAGGAGUUUCUGACUCCAAAAAAUUUUUCCAACAGGUUAAGGAACACUGAUGUGGGGGCCAGAAUAUUAAUGGAUGAGCACAUGGCUAUGGCCGUUGAAUUGAUUGUACUUAGCCAGUGCGGCCAAUGAGAAUGACUUUCCCAGGCUUCAUCCAUUAUAACAUAGAUGCUUGUUGCAUACAUUAUCUCAUGCAACCUUAUGAGUGUUUACCAACAGCCCUGUCCCAGAGGGGUCAAUAACAAUCCCAAGGCCAUGACGUUGGCAAGAGGUAAAGCUGAGAUUCAAGCCUCAUUCCAGAGGCCACACGUUGAGGCUGGCAUCAAAUGGCUUCCCACCAGUCUGGCCACUGCUGACACAUGGCAUCAUGUGUACCUUACUUAGAGACCAGAUGGGAACAUACUCAGAGAAGAGUGGCUACAUGGUGUGAGAAUUCACAACCUCAUCUAUGCAAAGACCAGUCGGGUGCUCUUCCCAGACUCUUCUCUCCACAACUGCAGCCAGAGAUGCCCCUGCAGCCCCAUCCUGCCAGCUACCACAUCAUGAGACAUGAGGAUGCAGAGAAGGCUGCUCAAUCUUCAGCCCACUGGCCCCAGGGUGGUGCUGAUCCAGCCCUGCUCUCGCCAGCUCUGGCUCCAGCUCUUCCUAUGGCCAAGACAUCACUCUUACCACCUCUGGAAACUGGGUUCCCCACACACGUCUGCAACCUGAGUCCCUUGGUACUAGACUCUUUUCGAUUCUCUGCCUUGUGCCCAAAGCACCCACACAGACCUUGCUCCUGCCUGUCGGCUCACCUCCAGGAAACUUCAGCCUCUCCAUCUACUGGCAUAACUUCCCACCUGGUCCAGAGCCCUGGUAUGGACACACUCCUUCUCCAGUGACGACCUCACCAGAUAACCCUGCCCUCUGGACACAGCAUGUUUUCUUCCAGAAGGAAUUCCUCCCGGAGCCUCCAGCUGCGUCUGCUGGUUCCAACAGCACCUGCAGAAAAUAAAAGGUGAAUUUCUAAACUCCGCUCGGAGGUGAAGGAUAGCGAAUUCAAGGCGUCCAGCCCUGUAAGCUGCGGCCAGGAGAAGAACAGCAAGACAAGAGGAAUCUGAAUGGAAAGGUCCCACUGGAAAAAUCAAGACCAAGUUUAUGAACAAAUUGCACCAGGGUCUUCCACACCCACCCCCACUGCACAGUGGCUGUGCUGCCCCCUCCUCUCCACUGCUUGUCCUGACGAGGAUGUGCUCUCAGCCUCUCCCAGACUAUAAUGAUUGCAGGAAGCUGUUCGCUUUACACGGGCUGGUGGUGUGCAGUGCUUGCAAAGUGGGUUCCUUGAAGACCGGUUCUGGGGGACGGCAGCAGAAGUUAUGCAAAUAAAGGGCUCCGUUUUCAGGACAAGUUUGGAAAACAUGGUAAGGGAUUUAAUCAAACAGGUUUGUUUCUUACCUGACUUCCCAGAGUGUGCUAAGGAGCACAGUACCUCUUGUGAGAUGG